rnacentral:rRNA from 1 species
CCUACGGGAGGCAGCAGUAGGGAAUUUUCGGCAAUGGGGGGAACCCUGACCGAGCAACGCCGCGUGAACGAAGAAGUUAUUCGUAAUGUAAAGUUCUUUUAACAGGGAAGAAAGAGAAAUUUGACGGUACCUGAAGAAUAAGCUCCGGCUAACUACGUGCCAGCAGCCGCGGUAAUACGUAGGGAGCGAGCGUUAUCCGGAAUUAUUGGGCGAAAAGGGUGCGUAGAUGGCAUAGUAAGUCUUUUGUAAAAAUGCUGGGCUCAACCCAGUAGGGCAAAAAAUACUGCAAGGCUAGAGUAUGACAGAGGCAAGUGGAACUACAUGUGUAGCGGUAAAAUGCGUAAAUAUAUGUAAGAACACCAGUGGCGAAGGCGGGUUGCUGGGUCGAUACUGACAUUGAGGCACGAAAGCGUGGGGAGCAAACAGGAUUAGAUACCCGUGUAGUC